CUACACUUACCCUAAGUCCUGUAGUGCCGAAUUUCGGAAGUCCCGAAGUUUGUAAGUGCCAAACCGAACCGAAGUACUUAAUAGCCGAUGUCUUGAAUUGCCGAAGUCCCAAAUUUCGGAAGUGUUGAACCGUACCGCCGAAGUCCCUUAUUGCCAAAUUUCGAAAUGCCGAACCAAAUUUCUUGCCCAUGCACAUCCCUAGUGAAUGGAGACCCAAUGCUGGGGGUCUGUGUAUAUAAGAUGGCCACUGGGCCAUAAUAAAUGAUUCCUUCUUGUACCCUUCAUCACGUCUUGCCUGAUGUUUAAG